UAGGGAAUCUUGCGCUAAUGCGCGAAAGCGUGACGCAGCGACGCCGCGUGCGGGAUGAAGGCCCUCGGGUCGUAAACCGCUUUCGGCAGGGACGAAGCGAAAGUGACGGUACCUGCAGAAGAAGUCCCGGCUAACUACGUGCCAGCAGCCGCGGUAACACGUAGGGGACGAGCGUUGUCCGGAUUUAUUGGGCGUAAAGAGCGCGUAGGCGGCUCGGAAAGUCGGUCGUGAAAUCCUGGGGCUCAACCCCGGAACUGCGUCCGAUACUUCCGAGCUGGAGGCAGGUAGGGGAGAUCGGAAUUCCUGGUGUAGCGGUGAAAUGCGCAGAUAUCAGGAGGAACACCGGUGGCGAAGGCGGAUCUCUGGGCCUUGCCUGACGCUGAGGCGCGAAAGCUAGGGGAGCGAACAGGAUUAGAUACCCUGGUAGUCCUAGCCGUAAACGUUGGGUGCUAGGUGUGGGCGGAUAUCGACCCCGUCCGUGCCGAAGCUAACGCAUUAAGCACCCGCCU
rnacentral:rRNA from 1 species